GAUGAACGCUGGCGGCGUGCCUAAUACAUGCAAGUCGAGCGAACGGACGAGAAGCUUUCUUUUCUGAUGUUAGCGGCGGACGGGUGAGUAACACGUGGAUAACCUACCUAUAAGACUGGGAUAACUUCGGGAAACCGGUGCUAAUACCGGAUAAUAUUUUGAACCGCAUGGUUCAAAAGUGAAAGACGGUCUUGCUGUCACUUAUAGAUGGAUCCGCGCUGCAUUAGCUAGUUGGUAAGGUAACGGCUUACCAAGGCAACGAUGCAUAGCCGACCUGAGAGGGUGAUCGGCCACACUGGAACUGAGACACGGUCCAGACUCCUACGGGAGGCAGCAGUAGGGAAUCUUCCGCAAUGGGCGAAAGCCUGACGGAGCAACGCCGCGUGAGUGAUGAAGGUCUUCGGAUCGUAAAACUCUGUUAUUAGGGAAGAACAUAUGUGUAAGUAACUGUGCACAUCUUGACGGUACCUAAUCAGAAAGCCACGGCUAACUACGUG
rnacentral:rRNA from 1 species